rnacentral:rRNA from 1 species
GAUGAACGCUAGCUACAGGCUUAACACAUGCAAGUCGAGGGGAAACGACGUCGAAAGCUUGCUUUUGAUGGCGUCGACCGGCGCACGGGUGAGUAACGCGUAUCCAACCUGCCCAUCACUUGGGAAUAACCUUGCGAAAGUAAGACUAAUACCCAAUGACAUCCCACGAAGACAUCUGAAUGGGAUUAAAGAUUUAUCGGUGAUGGAUGGGGAUGCGUCUGAUUAGCUUGUUGGCGGGGUAACGGCCCACCAAGGCAACGAUCAGUAGGGGUUCUGAGAGGAAGGUCCCCCACAUUGGAACUGAGACACGGUCCAAACUCCUACGGGAGGCAGCAGUGAGGAAUAUUGAUCAAUGGGCGAGAGCCUGAACCAGCCAAGUAGCGUGCAGGAUGACGGCCCUAUGGGUUGUAAACUGCUUUUAUAAGGGAAUAAAGUGGGUCUCGUGAGACUUUUUGCAUGUACCUUAUGAAUAAGGACCGGCUAAUUCCGUG